GGUUGAUGGGUGUAGCAAACCACCAUGGCACAUGUAUACCUUUGUAACAAACCUGCACGAUCUGCACAUGUAUCCCCAAACUCAAAGGAAAACUUUUUUAAAAAAUAUUUUUAUAUUUUAUAAGUUCUGUUUUACAAAAGACCAAUACUAAGAGAGUAAAAUGGCAAGUCACAUAGUGGUAUUAGACACUUGUAAUAUAAACCUGAUAGAUGAUUCAUCAAAUAUAUAGAGAUCCACUAUAAACCAAUGAGAGGAAGAUAUAAAACAAAAUGGCAAAGGACCUGAUCAAGCUCUCUGAAAAGGAGAUAUCAAAAUGGUGAAUAACUGUGUAAACACCUAAUAAUAAUGAUGAUCAAAUAAAUGGAACUUGAAACCAAAUGAGAUUUCACAAUCUAACCAGCAGAAAUGCUUAAAGACAAACAAAUUCCUUGCAGAAAGUGUUGAGAGAAUAGGAAGUCCCUGGAGGGCACUGGUGUGAAAGUAACUUGAUUAAUAACUUUAGAAACUGUUUUACAGUAUCCAGUGAAGUACAACAUAUGCAUACUCUCAUUUUCUUAGAUAUAUACUCAGCAAAUAUACAUAUAAGUCCCAAAAGACAAGAUCAAGAAGGACCAUAGAAUCAUAAUUUCAACAUGGAUGGAACUGGAGAUCACCACAUUACGUGAAAUAUGCCAGGCACAGAAAGACAAAUAUCACAUGUUCUCAUUUAUAUAUGGGAGCUGAAAAAGUUGAUCUCAGGAGGUUAUCAAGUUCAUUCAGUGGGGAAAUAAUGGCAUAUUCAAAAGAUGGUGCUGGGUCAGCUGAAUUUCUACAUGCAAAAGAAUGAAGUGGGAUCCCUAACUCCUACAACAUAUGCAAAAAGAUGGAACACCAGACUGUGGUUCCAGAAAACCAGCCUUGCAAAAAUGGGCAACCUCUUCAGAAUUGGUGAAAUAAUGAGAAAGAAGAAUUGCCCAGAACUUCAUGGAGCUGAGCCAUUUACCCAUCCUGGAAUAUCCACCUUCCAUGGAAUUUUUUUUAAUGUUUUUUCUUCUUCUUUAACCCACUAAUUAUCUCUCUUUUCCUCUCUCUCUGUCUCAUCUCCACUCCUUUCCACAACAACAUAGACUGUAUAUGAGUAUAUAUUUUAGCAUAUUGAAUAAUAAAGUACAUACACAAAUAUUUAUGGAACUGCUC
rnacentral:lncRNA from 13 species